UACGUAGGUGACAAGCGUUGUCCGGAUUUACUGGGCGUAAAGAGCGCGCAGGCGGUCGAUCAAGUCGAGUGUGAAAGCCCCCGGCUCAACUGGGAGGGUCAGUUCGAUACUGAUCGACUCGAAGGCAGGAGAAGGGUAGUGGAAUUCCCGGUGUCGAGUGGUGGAAAUGACGUAGAUAUCGGGAGGAACACCAGUGGCGAAGGCGACUACCUGGCCUGUUCUUGACGCUGAGGCGCGAAGCUAGGGAGCAA
rnacentral:rRNA from 1 species